UACGGGGGGGGUAAGCGUUGUUCGGAAUUACUGGGCGUAAAGGGCUCGUAGGCGGCCAACUAAGUCAGACGUGAAAUCCCUCAGCUUAACUGGGGAACUGCGUCUGAUACUGGAUGGCUUGGAUUUGGGAGAGGGAUGCGGAAUUCCAGGUGUAGCGGUGAAAUUCGUAGAUAUCGGGAGGAACACCGGUGGCGAAGGCGGCGACCUGGGUAGAUACUGACGCUGAGGCGCGAAAGCGUGGGGAGCAAACAGG
rnacentral:rRNA from 1 species